rnacentral:lncRNA from 1 species
AAUUGUUGAGCUCAAUAGCCAGGUCUUAUGUGGUGUCAGCCUCCUCUGCAGAUCGGACUGUAGAUAGUGUGCUCCAGCAUGAGGAAGAAAAGGCAGAGUUGGGGAAAGGGUCUCAAUAAGAAUGUGGUCUCCCCUUCUUAAGGAGGAACUAAAAACUUGUUCCAGGCUUUGAUUUAAAAGAAGACGAACUUCAGUUUGACCUAUUCAGCACAUAUUAUUGGCCUUUUCUAAUUUGUAUCAAACUCAGACAGUCACACCUGGCAGGCUGCAUAUGUGUUAGGCAAGUGCUCUGCCUCAGAGCUCAAUCCCCAGUCCUGCCGAAUAGUCUUCUGUGUGUUGCUUAGAUCUCUCUGCCUUGAAAUAGUUUCCAAUGUUUCCAUGCAACUGUAUGUCAUAGGGUUUCUAUUGCUGUGAAGAGACACCAUGGCCCAGCAAUGCUUACAAAAGCAAACAUUGAACUGGGCCCAGCUUGCAGUUUCUGAAGUUUAAUCCAUCAUCAUGUUGAGAAGUAUGGCAAUGUGCAGGCAGACGUGGUGCUGGAGAAGGAGCUGAGAGUUCUACAUCUGGAUCAGCCCACAGUGGGAUGUGAACUGUAUUGAGCUUCUGAGAUCUCAAAGCCUACCUUCUAGUAACACACUUCCUCCACAUUUACAUUACAAGACCACACCUACUCCAACAAGGCCACACCUCCUAAUAGUGCCACUCCUUUGUACAAAAUAUUCAAACGCAUUGUGGGGGACUUUUCUAUUGAAAUCAUCACACCAUACCCGGUAUUUUCUUAUGUAUCAUGUAGGUUGAGCUCCCAAGCAAACUGAAAACAUCUGUGACUUCAAUAACAUUUAAUUACAAUUGUACUUUCUACAAAAAAUGGAAUACAAGCAUCUUAAAACACACAUACAUGCAUAUCAAAAUAACUAGUAAAAUGCACUCAAGAAUCUAAACUGUAUGGAUGGAUAUUGACUCAUCAAAAGGGUUCAUGAUAUGGCUUUAAAGGCGCUGAUCAAAACUUUGCUGCAAGAGAGGGAGGAAGUACUCUCCUUGCCUCUUAUAAUGAUCGUUAUUUGCCCCCAAACAUUUCUCAAGAAGCUCACGUUUGUUAGCCUUCAUUUUAUGACUCAAGAAUCUUCAGGAAGCUAUUUUAAUUUUUUGUUCUGCAGUAACAGUUCAUCUUCAAAAGGGCAGUGUUCCUAUUGCCUUCAGGUUCAGGAAAAUGGAAUCCAUUUGGGGGAGAAAGUGCACUCUCACUGAGAAAUUCAGUGCCUUACUUGGAAGGCUCUAAUGACACAGCUUCAUAUUACAGAUGGUAUGAAAUUUACUCAAAGUCAUCAAGAAAAUAAAAGGUCAUUCCUGAAUAUACUUUAUAUCAUAUCUAUAUAUGGAAAGAACACAAGUCACUAUCAUUACUGUCCCCGCAUUUCCCACUUCUCAUGCUCGAGGGCAGAGCCUCCACCAGCGUGGCUGUGAUGGUUUAACUCACGUCUAACUCCGAAGUCUUCCAAGUUUGCUUGAGUUGCAAAAUCUGAAGCAAAUCUUUGGGCUACGGCCAUUCAUUAAGCCAGUGUUGACAUUUGCUUCUUUUCAGGAAAAAAUGGGUCAGAAGCCAAACUAAUAUCUCUGCACAGCUAGAAGCAGAUACGGUGGAAAUGCAACAAAUACUUCGCAAAAUGAUUUAUAAUGCAAAUAGGAAGGAUGGAAAUCCAUCCUUGUAUAUGAUGUGAUAAGGCCAACUCUCAUGCUGUUUCUCUUGGAGGAACAUGGCACUCCCCUGAGCACAGAUGAUCCUUAUGUGUGUGGCAAGACGACCACAGAGCCAGUUACUCUCUGGGUAUGGUGCCCUGUCUUCUGUUCUCAUCUCUCCCAGAGGAAUAGCCUAUCGCCAGCUCUGGAAAUCUACACAUAAGAUGUUACAGCUUGCUACCCACUGUUACCAGAGCACAGUAUUUAAGAAAAAAAAUGAAUUAUUUGUCAUUUAAAAAUAAUAAUUAAAUUUUUAGAAUUUCAUAUAAUAUAUUUUGAUUGCAUUCACCUCCAACUCCUCCCAGAUCCACCCGACCUCUCUACCCACUCAACUCUGUGUCUUCUUUGAUGUUGUUAUUUUUUAGAUGACCCAUAUUUUUAUUCUUUUAGAUUAUAGAUUAUGAAUAUCAGAAGCACAGAAGGAAGUUAUUUUAGU